rnacentral:rRNA from 1 species
UACGUAGGUGUCGAGCGUUGUCCGGAAUUACUGGGCGUAAAGCGCACGUAGGCGGCUUUCUAAGUCGGGGGUGAAAUCCUGGAGCUCAACUCCAGAACUGCCUUCGAUACUGGAGAGCUCGAGUCCGGGAGAGGUGAGUGGGAACUGCGAGUGUAGAGGUGAAAUUCGUAGAUAUUCGCAAGAACACCAGUGGCGAAGGCGGCUCACUGGCCCGGUACUGACGCUGAGGUGCGAAAGCGUGGGGAGCAAACAGGG